UACGUAGGGUGCGAGCGUUGUCCGGAAUUACUGGGCGUAAAGAGCUCGUAGGUGGUUUGUAGCGUUGUUCGUGAAAACUCACAGCUUAACUGUGGGCGUGCGGGCGAUACGGGCAGACUGGAGUACUGCAGGGGAGACUGGAAUUCCUGGUGUAGCGGUGGAAUGCGCAGAUAUCGAGGAGGAACACCGGUGGCGAAGGCGGGUCACUGGGACGGUACUGACGCUGGAGGCGACG
rnacentral:rRNA from 1 species